rnacentral:rRNA from 1 species
GACGAACGCUGGCGGCGUGCUUAACACAUGCAAGUCGAACGGAAAGGCCCUGCUUUUGUGGGGUGCUCGAGUGGCGAACGGGUGAGUAACACGUGAGUAACCUGCCCUUGACUUUGGGAUAACUUCAGGAAACUGGGGCUAAUACCGGAUAGGAGCUCCUGCUGCAUGGUGGGGGUUGGAAAGUUUCGGCGGUUGGGGAUGGACUCGCGGCUUAUCAGCUUGUUGGUGGGGUAGUGGCUUACCAAGGCUUUGACGGGUAGCCGGCCUGAGAGGGUGAACGGCCACAUUGGGACUAAGGUACGGCCCAGACGCCUACGGGAGGCAGCAGUGGGGAAUAUUGCACAAUGGGCGGAAGCCUGAUGCAGAAACGCCGCGUGCGGGAUGACGGCCUUCGAGUUGUAAACCGCUUUCGACUGUGACAAAGCGUUAGUGACGGUAAUGGGUAAGGAAGCACCGGCUAACUACGUG